rnacentral:rRNA from 1 species
GACGAACGCUGGCGGCGUGCUUAACACAUGCAAGUCGAACGAAGAGCGAUGGAAGCUUGCUUCUAUCAAUCUUAGUGGCGAACGGGUGAGUAACGCGUAAUCAACCUGCCCUUCAGAGGGGGACAACAGUUGGAAACGACUGCUAAUACCGCAUACGAUCUAAUCUCGGCAUCGAGGAUAGAUGAAAGGUGGCCUCUACAUGUAAGCUAUCACUGAAGGAGGGGAUUGCGUCUGAUUAGCUAGUUGGAGGGGUAACGGCCCACCAAGGCUAUGAUCAGUAGCCGGUCUGAGAGGAUGAACGGCCACAUUGGGACUGAGACACGGCCCAGACUCCUACGGGAGGCAGCAGUGGGGAAUCUUCCGCAAUGGACGAAAGUCUGACGGAGCAACGCCGCGUGAGUGAUGACGGCCUUCGGGUUGUAAAGCUCUGUUAAUCGGGACGAAAGGCCUUCUUGCGAACAGUUAGAAGGAUUGACGGUACCGGAAUAGAAAGCCACGGCUAACUACGUG